GUAUGUAUGUAUGUACGUACGUAUAUAUGUAUGACUAGGUGGGGCGCCUCGCCUGCGUGAAGGCUGGAGGGUAGGGUACUUGCGAUGGACCAGUGACUUCACUGUGCGGCGUGCGGGUUGCUUGCCUUUCUAAGGUAAAGCCCUAGCCUUGAGAUGACGGGAUCCUUUGGGAUAUAUGCAAGUGAAUUCUAUUCGUGGCUUUUAAGUAUCAUUGUUGGUUAAGUACCCGUGCAUCUUGGUGAGGGUUGUCGUCGCUCCUCGCAGGCCAUGGGCAUCCCGUUCACUUUUGACAGCACUAAGGGCAAGGAGGUGGAGGAUCCUGCAGCCAAGGUGUCAGCAACACGAACGACAACGCUGCGGACGGCGCGCCAGUACAUGAACCGGAAGGGAGGUUUCAACCGCCCGUUGCCAGCCGAGACGACCGGGGAGAAGUACCGACCCGAUUAGAAUUCGAUUGAUGUUGCAAGGGGAUAUUUCAGACCAACAAGCAAAGAGUUGAUCAUUCUGGUUAGGGAAAUUCCGGUCUUGCCAAGUAAAGGCGCGGAGAACGGCCGAUGGGUGCGCAGCCCAUCGUGGGUUCGUGGACUGCAGACCAAGUUGGUGGAGUUUUGUGGACGUGCGUGAUGAUGCGCAGUGCUGUACGAGCUGCUAUCCAACAGGUCAAACUUGACACGAAGCGGUUGAUGUGGGUUGACCACAGGCGACAUGACGCGCCUCAUGCACCCUGUCUCUUUAGUAACCAUGUUAUGGAUUUCUUGUCGACCUGCUGAGGGAGUGAAAGGCGAUUUGUGUACAGCGUUGCCAGCCUCACGUAAGCGGGAUUACAACCUUUUUGUUCCCCCUAAAGGGGAUGCACCUUGCGCCAUGAUUACGUUGCUCGCUGAAUGGUGUUCCGACGGUGUUCGCUGGUUUGCACAAUGCGCUCCUGGCUAACCUCCAGUUAGCCUUCCCUGUGACAAAUUGAAUCCAAGGAAUGUAAGUACCAGCAAAUUUGUCAUGUCGUUACUGCUAGAACUGACAGGAGAAGACGUGUCAGCCAUCGGCUUCGCAUCAAGGGUCAACAGCUCUACACAUUUCCAUGUGCGUAAUGUCUUAAAAAUGCCAUAUUACUUUGUGACGGUUAGAAAUUUAACCACAAAAUCCGUAUUCUUAUCCAUAUCCAUCUUACUCUUCAACAGUGCUCGUUGAAAUAUUACCGGAGUGUUACCGGACAGCCGUAC
rnacentral:lncRNA from 1 species